rnacentral:sRNA from 1 species
GCCAGGUGUGGUGACACACACCUGUAAUCCCAGCUACUUGGGAGGCUGAGGCAGGUGGAUCACAAGUUUGAGACCAGCCUGGGCAAUUUAGUGAGAUCCUGUCUCAC